AUUGAACGCUGGCGGCAGGCUUAACACAUGCAAGUCGAACGAUGAUUAUCUAGCUUGCUAGAUAUGAUUAGUGGCGGACGGGUGAGUAACAUUUAGGAAUCUGCCUAGUAGUGGGGGAUAGCUCGGGGAAACUCGAAUUAAUACCGCAUACGACCUACGGGUGAAAGGGGGCGCAAGCUCUUGCUAUUAGAUGAGCCUAAAUCAGAUUAGCUAGUUGGUGGGGUAAAGGCCCACCAAGGCGACGAUCUGUAACUGGUCUGAGAGGAUGAUCAGUCACACCGGAACUGAGACACGGUCCGGACUCCUACGGGAGGCAGCAGUGGGGAAUAUUGGACAAUGGGGGCAACCCUGAUCCAGCCAUGCCGCGUGUGUGAAGAAGGCCUUUUGGUUGUAAAGCACUUUAAGCAGGGAGGAGAGGCUAAUGGUUAAUACCCAUUAGAUUAGACGUUACCUGCAGAAUAAGCACCGGCUAACUCUGUGCCAGCAGCCGCGGUAAUACAGAGGGUGCGAGCGUUAAUCGGAAUUACUGGGCGUAAAGCGAGUGUAGGUGGCUCAUUAAGUCACAUGUGAAAUCCCCGGGCUUAACCUGGGAACUGCAUGUGAUACUGGUGGUGCUAGAAUAUGUGAGAGGGAAGUAGAAUUCCAGGUGUAGCGGUGAAAUGCGUAGAGAUCUGGAGGAAUACCGAUGGCGAAGGCAGCUUCCUGGCAUAAUAUUGACACUGAGAUUCGAAAGCGUGGGUAGCAAACAGGAUUAGAUACCCUGGUAGUCCACGCCGUAAACGAUGUCUACUAGCCGUUGGGGUCCUUGAGACUUUAGUGGCGCAGUUAACGCGAUAAGUAGACCGCCUGGGGAGUACGGCCGCAAGGUUAAAACUCAAAUGAAUUGACGGGGGCCCGCACAAGCGGUGGAGCAUGUGGUUUAAUUCGAUGCAACGCGAAGAACCUUACCUGGUCUUGACAUAGUGAGAAUCUCUCAGAGAUGAGAGAGUGCCUUCGGGAACUCACAUACAGGUGCUGCAUGGCUGUCGUCAGCUCGUGUCGUGAGAUGUUGGGUUAAGUCCCGCAACGAGCGCAACCCUUUUCCUUAUUUGCCAGCGGGUUAAGCCGGGAACUUUAAGGAUACUGCCAGUGACAAACUGGAGGAAGGCGGGGACGACGUCAAGUCAUCAUGGCCCUUACGACCAGGGCUACACACGUGCUACAAUGGUAGGUACAGAGGGUUGCUACACAGCGAUGUGAUGCUAAUCUCAAAAAGCCUAUCGUAGUCCGGAUUGGAGUCUGCAACUCGACUCCAUGAAGUCGGAAUCGCUAGUAAUCGCGGAUCAGAAUGCCGCGGUGAAUACGUUCCCGGGCCU
rnacentral:rRNA from 1 species